GUCCACGCAGUAAACGAUGCAGACUAGGCGUGGGUGGACUUGACCCCAUCCGUGCCGGAGCUAACGCGGGAAGUCUGCCGCCUGGGGAGUACGGCCGCAAGGCUAAAAACUCAAAGGAAUUGACGGGGGCCCGCACAAGCGGCGGAGCGUGCUCUUUAAUUCGUCGCAACGCGAAGAACCUUACCAGGGUUUGACAUGGAUCUGCAUCCCCGUGAAAGCGGGUGGCCUUCGAGGGUGAUCCACAGGUGCUGCAUGGCUGUCGU
rnacentral:rRNA from 1 species